rnacentral:lncRNA from 1 species
ACUCUGGCCAGCUUUUAUGUAGGGCAGACAUCUCAGGAGGAAGAGCCAACAGAACCAGAAGUGUUCCCAGACAUGUUGCUUCACCACCGUGCCUCUCUUUCUUUCAGCAAACAGGAGAGGUAGGAGAGGAAGGCAGAACAGAGCACUGACUCAGCCCACCUGCACCCAGGUGAAAUAAACAGCUUUAUUGCUCACACAAAGCCUGUUUCGUGGUCUCUUCACACUGACGUGCAUGAAAUUUGUUGCCAUGACUUGGAUCGGGGGACCUCCCUUUGGAGAUCAAUCCCCCAUCCUCCUGCUCUUUGCUCCGUGAGAAAGAUCCACCUAUGACCUCAGGUCCUCAGACUGACCAGCCCAAGAAACAUCUCACCAAUUUCAAAUCCGGGGCUUGCUACACAUGCCGGAAAUCUGGCCACUGGGCCAAGGAAUGCCUGCAGCCCGGGAUUCUUCCUAAGCCACGUCCCAUCUGUGUGGGACCCCACUGAAAAUCAGACUGUUCAACUCACCUGGCAGCCACUCCCAGAGCCCCUGGAACUCCGGCCCAAGGCUCUCUGACUGACUCCUUCCCAGAUCUUCUCGGCUUAGCGGCUGAAGACUGCUGCUCGGUUGCCUCGGAAGCCCUAUAGACCAUCACGGAUGCUGAGCUUUAGGUAACUCUCACAGUGGAAGUACAAGAAGGCAGGAAUGUCAGGCCUCUGAGCCCAAGCCAAGCCAUCGCAUCCCCUGUGACUUGCACGUAUACGCCCAGAUGGCCUGAAGUAACUGAAGAAUCACAAAAGAAGUGAAAAGGCCCUGCCCGGCCUUAACUGAUGACAUUCCACCAUUGUGAUUUGUUCCUGCCCCACCUUAACUGAGUGAUUAACCCUGUGAAUUUCCUUCCCCUGGCUCAGAAGCUCUCCCACUGAGCACCUUGUGACCCCCGCCCCUGCCCACCAGAGAACAACCCCCUUUGACUGUAAUUUUCCUUUACCUUCCCAAAUCCUAUAAAAGGGCCCCACCCGUAUCUCCCUUCGCUGACUCUCUUUUCGGACUCAGCUCACCUGCACCCAGGUGAAAUAAACAGCUUUAUUGCUCACACAAAUCCUGUUUGGUGGUCUCUUCACACGGAUGUGCAUGAAAUAAACCAUGUUUGAUGAACCCAGAUGAGCAAUCUGUUGAUCUGAGAAAAGGAGUUUACUUGAAUGAAAGCUAGUGUUGUUUGGAUAAAUGGACAUUGGGAAGUUCCUGAAACAAUCACGUGAUCUGCAACUUUAUCUUCCUGAGCCAGGGUUUUCUGGAAGAGUGAUGCCCUGUAGCUGCAGACAGUGAGCUGUGUGGUUGAGAUAGUUUGAAUGCUGGGGGCU